rnacentral:rRNA from 1 species
AAAAACAUGUCCUCAUGAAAGUAGUGUGAGGUCUGGCCUGCCCACUGAAGGUGUUUAAAGGGCCGCGGUAUACUAACCGUGCGAAGGUAGCAUAGUCAAUAGUCCUUUAAUUGGGGGCUUGAAUGAACGGUCGGACAUAAGGAGAGCUGUCUCCGACUGGGAAAUUAUGAAUUUAACUUUUGUGUGAAAAGGCAUUAAUGUUUUAGGGGGACGAUAAGACCCUAUAAAACUUGACAUAUGGCCUAGAUUCUAAGAUUUAUGGGUAAUGGAGAGUUUAGGUGGAUAUGUUGUGCUGGGGCGGCUAGAAUAUAAUUGGUAACUGUUCUUUAUAUGUAAUAAUGAUUUUUAGAGUUUGACCCUAAAUUUUGGGUUAAAAGAUUAAGUUACUUUAGGGAUAACAGCGUUAUUUCUCUUGAGAGUUCAUAUCGACAGGGAUGUUUGCGACCUCGAUGUUGAAUUAAAAUUUUUUCUGGGAGUAGAAGUUCGGAUAAUAGGUCUGUUCGACCUUUAAAAUUUUACA